rnacentral:pre_miRNA from 2 species
AGUGAUUUGGAACGCAUUUAGCAGUAUGUUAAAUUCUGAAAUGCGAUCCAAAUCACUUG